AUUGAACGCUGGCGGCAUGCCUUACACAUGCAAGUCGAACGGUAACAGGUCUUCGGAUGCUGACGAGUGGCGAACGGGUGAGUAAUACAUCGGAACGUGCCUAGUAGUGGGGGAUAACUACUCGAAAGAGUGGCUAAUACCGCAUGAGAUCUACGGAUGAAAGCAGGGGAUCGCAAGACCUUGUGCUACUAGAGCGGCCGAUGGCAGAUUAGGUAGUUGGUGGGAUAAAAGCUUACCAAGCCGACGAUCUGUAGCUGGUCUGAGAGGACGAUCAGCCACACUGGGACUGGGACACGGCCCAGACUCCUACGGGAGGCAGCAGUGGGGAAUUUUGGACGAUGGGCGCAAGCCUGAUCCAGCAAUGCCGCGUGCAGGAUGAAGGCCUUCGGGUUGUAAACUGCUUUUGUACGGAACGAAAAGCCCUGGGUUAAUACCCUGGGGUCAUGACGGUACCGUAAGAAUAAGCACCGGCUAACUACGUGCCAGCAGCCGCGGUAACAC
rnacentral:rRNA from 1 species